rnacentral:rRNA from 1 species
GGGUUGUGAGGUUAAGCGACUAAGCGUACACGGUGGAUGCCCUGGCAGUCAGAGGCGAUGAAGGACGUGCUAAUCUGCGAUAAGCGUCGGUAAGGUGAUAUGAACCGUUAUAACCGGCGAUUUCCGAAUGGGGAAACCCAGUGUGUUUCGACACACUAUCAUUAACUGAAUCCAUAGGUUAAUGAGGCGAACCGGGGGAACUGAAACAUCUAAGUACCCCGAGGAAAAGAAAUCAACCGAGAUUCCCCCAGUAGCGGCGAGCGAACGGGGAGCAGCCCAGAGCCUGAAUCAGUGUGUGUGUUAGUGGAAGCGUCUGGAAAGGCGCGCGAUACAGGGUGACAGCCCCGUACACAAAAAUGCACAUGCUGUGAGCUCGAUGAGUAGGGCGGGACACGUGGUAUCCUGUCUGAAUAUGGGGGGACCAUCCUCCAAGGCUAAAUACUCCUGACUGACCGAUAGUGAACCAGUACCGUGAGGGAAAGGCGAAAAGAACCCCGGCGAGGGGAGUGAAAAAGAACCUGAAACCGUGUACGUACAAGCAGUGGGAGCACGCUUAGGCGUGUGACUGCGUACCUUUUGUAUAAUGGGUCAGCGACUUAUAUUCUGUAGCAAGGUUAACCGAAUAGGGGAGCCGAAGGGAAACCGAGUCUUAACUGGGCGUUAAGUUGCAGGGUAUAGACCCGAAACCCGGUGAUCUAGCCAUGGGCAGGUUGAAGGUUGGGUAACACUAACUGGAGGACCGAACCGACUAAUGUUGAAAAAUUAGCGGAUGACUUGUGGCUGGGGGUGAAAGGCCAAUCAAACCGGGAGAUAGCUGGUUCUCCCCGAAAGCUAUUUAGGUAGCGCCUCGUGAAUUCAUCUCCGGGGGUAGAGCACUGUUUCGGCAAGGGGGUCAUCCCGACUUACCAACCCGAUGCAAACUGCGAAUACCGGAGAAUGUUAUCACGGGAGACACACGGCGGGUGCUAACGUCCGUCGUGAAGAGGGAAACAACCCAGACCGCCAGCUAAGGUCCCAAAGUCAUGGUUAAGUGGGAAACGAUGUGGGAAGGCCCAGACAGCCAGGAUGUUGGCUUAGAAGCAGCCAUCAUUUAAAGAAAGCGUAAUAGCUCACUGGUCGAGUCGGCCUGCGCGGAAGAUGUAACGGGGCUAAACCAUGCACCGAAGCUGCGGCAGCGACGCUUAUGCGUUGUUGGGUAGGGGAGCGUUCUGUAAGCCUGUGAAGGUGUGCUGUGAGGCAUGCUGGAGGUAUCAGAAGUGCGAAUGCUGACAUAAGUAACGAUAAAGCGGGUGAAAAGCCCGCUCGCCGGAAGACCAAGGGUUCCUGUCCAACGUUAAUCGGGGCAGGGUGAGUCGACCCCUAAGGCGAGGCCGAAAGGCGUAGUCGAUGGGAAACAGGUUAAUAUUCCUGUACUUGGUGUUACUGCGAAGGGGGGACGGAGAAGGCUAUGUUGGCCGGGCGACGGUUGUCCCGGUUUAAGCGUGUAGGCUGGUUUUCCAGGCAAAUCCGGAAAAUCAAGGCUGAGGCGUGAUGACGAGGCACUACGGUGCUGAAGCAACAAAUGCCCUGCUUCCAGGAAAAGCCUCUAAGCAUCAGGUAACAUCAAAUCGUACCCCAAACCGACACAGGUGGUCAGGUAGAGAAUACCAAGGCGCUUGAGAGAACUCGGGUGAAGGAACUAGGCAAAAUGGUGCCGUAACUUCGGGAGAAGGCACGCUGAUAUGUAGGUGAAGCGACUUGCUCGUGGAGCUGAAAUCAGUCGAAGAUACCAGCUGGCUGCAACUGUUUAUUAAAAACACAGCACUGUGCAAACACGAAAGUGGACGUAUACGGUGUGACGCCUGCCCGGUGCCGGAAGGUUAAUUGAUGGGGUUAGCGCAAGCGAAGCUCUUGAUCGAAGCCCCGGUAAACGGCGGCCGUAACUAUAACGGUCCUAAGGUAGCGAAAUUCCUUGUCGGGUAAGUUCCGACCUGCACGAAUGGCGUAAUGAUGGCCAGGCUGUCUCCACCCGAGACUCAGUGAAAUUGAACUCGCUGUGAAGAUGCAGUGUACCCGCGGCAAGACGGAAAGACCCCGUGAACCUUUACUAUAGCUUGACACUGAACAUUGAGCCUUGAUGUGUAGGAUAGGUGGGAGGCUUUGAAGUGUGGACGCCAGUCUGCAUGGAGCCGACCUUGAAAUACCACCCUUUAAUGUUUGAUGUUCUAACGUUGACCCGUAAUCCGGGUUGCGGACAGUGUCUGGUGGGUAGUUUGACUGGGGCGGUCUCCUCCUAAAGAGUAACGGAGGAGCACGAAGGUUGGCUAAUCCUGGUCGGACAUCAGGAGGUUAGUGCAAUGGCAUAAGCCAGCUUGACUGCGAGCGUGACGGCGCGAGCAGGUGCGAAAGCAGGUCAUAGUGAUCCGGUGGUUCUGAAUGGAAGGGCCAUCGCUCAACGGAUAAAAGGUACUCCGGGGAUAACAGGCUGAUACCGCCCAAGAGUUCAUAUCGACGGCGGUGUUUGGCACCUCGAUGUCGGCUCAUCACAUCCUGGGGCUGAAGUAGGUCCCAAGGGUAUGGCUGUUCGCCAUUUAAAGUGGUACGCGAGCUGGGUUUAGAACGUCGUGAGACAGUUCGGUCCCUAUCUGCCGUGGGCGCUGGAGAACUGAGGGGGGCUGCUCCUAGUACGAGAGGACCGGAGUGGACGCAUCACUGGUGUUCGGGUUGUCAUGCCAAUGGCACUGCCCGGUAGCUAAAUGCGGAAGAGAUAAGUGCUGAAAGCAUCUAAGCACGAAACUUGCCCCGAGAUGAGUUCUCCCUGAC